ensembl:snRNA U6 U6 spliceosomal RNA
GUGCUCGCUUUGGCAGAACCCGUACUAAAAUUGGAAUGAUACAGAGAUUAGCGUGGCCCUGCAUGUGAGGAUGACAGACACAUUCAUGAAGCAUUCCAUAUUUUU